GAUGAACGCUGGCGGCGUGCCUAAUACAUGCAAGUCGAGCGAACGGACGAGAAGCUUGCUUCUCUGAUGUUAGCGGCGGACGGGUGAGUAACACGUGGAUAACCUACCUAUAAGACUGGGAUAACUUCGGGAAACCGGAGCUAAUACCGGAUGAUAUUUUGAACCGCAUGGUUCAAAAGUGAAGGACGGUCUUGCUGUCACUUAUAGAUGGAUCCGCGCUGCAUUAGCUAGUUGGUAAGGUAACGGCUUACCAAGGCAACGAUGCAUAGCCGACCUGAGAGGGUGAUCGGCCACACUGGAACUGAGACACGGUCCAGACUCCUACGGGAGGCAGCAGUAGGGAAUCUUCCGCAAUGGGCGAAAGCCUGACGGAGCAACGCCGCGUGAGUGAUGAAGGUCUUCGGAUCGUAAAACUCUGUUAUUAGGGAAGAACAUAUGUGUAAGUAACUGUGCACAUCUUGACGGUACCUAAUCAGAAAGCCACGGCUAACUGCGUG
rnacentral:rRNA from 1 species